rnacentral:lncRNA from 1 species
UCCCAAGUUCACUGAUGGGGAUAGGGAUGCUCUAAUUCAUCCUUUUAUUUAGAUCCAGGACGCUAACUUAUUUGGUUCUCGUUAUUUACCCAACACGGCAUAUCUCCUCCUCUGGCGUAUAUAGAAUUAACAUAAACAAUUAAUAUGCAGAAUCAGGUGUAAUAAUAAUUUAACUCAAGAAGAUUGGAGCCAGAGGCGGGCCCACUAAGACAAAUAUGGUGUAAAAUAACACCCCUUAAAUAUGAUAAAUUUGAAAAUGCUGAUAGAAACAUUGAAGAUUUUUCAGCAUUUUUGGUUUGAAGUGUACUUUGACCUAGAUUAAAAUGAAUUCUGAGCCCACCACUGAUUGGAGCUAAUGUGAAGUAACAUGCAGUCGUUAAGUGAGAGUUUAGUUUACUUGUGUAAGAAAAUUUACCAUUUCAUAAAGUGACGUGGCAUCCAAAAAAUGAACAAGUAUCUCGAUAAUAAGAAAAAAUUCUAAGGUAUACAAGACAGAACCUCCCAAAGAUUAGGUUAUAUGAAACAGAGAGAUCAAGCUUGGCUCAGUGUUUAGAGUUUU